rnacentral:misc_RNA from 1 species
GCUCAGGUGAAACUACCAAUAGAAGAAACGCAAUGAACCGGCUUUGAAGCAACAUGACCCACGUCGGCGAUACAAAACUAUCCCCGGUAUAUCUGCAGAGCGAAAAAUCACGUGUUCCGUGAAGAGAAUUAGUAAAAAUAGAUUAUUAAAUUAUGAAUAUUUUGAUAUACAUGAAUUGAAUGUAUCAAUUAUACUACUAAAGGGUAUGCAUUGGAAGAAUUAUAUUAUCUGUGAAAAGAAAUCUUUAUUGUACACUGUAAUGUCUUGAUGAACAUUCCUAACCGGUGAUUUAUAAAUAAAAAUUGAAUUCUAUCA